rnacentral:rRNA from 1 species
UACAGGGGGUGCAAACGUUGCUCGGAAUCAUUGGGCGUAAAGCGCACGUAGGCGGUCUGUUAUGUCGGAUGUGAAAGCCCUUGGCUCAACUGAGGAAGUGCAUCCGAAACUGGCAGGCUAGAGUACUAAAGAGGGUCGCGGAAUUCCCGGUGUAGAGGUGAAAUUCGUAGAUAUCGGGAGGAACACCGGUGGCGAAGGCGGCGACCUGGGUAGAUACUGACGCUGAGGUGCGAAAGCAUGGGGAGCGAACAGG